ACGCGAAGAACCUUACCAAGUCUUGACAUCCCUCUGACCGAUCCUUAACCGGAUCUUUCCUUCGGGACAGGGGAGACAGGUGGUGCAUGGUUGUCGUCAGCUCGUGUCGUGAGAUGUUGGGUUAAGUCCCGCAACGAGCGCAACCCCUAUCCUCAGUAGCCAGCAGUUAGGCUGGGCACUCUGAGGAGACUGCCAGGGAUAACCUGGAGGAAGGCGGGGAUGACGUCAAAUCAUCAUGCCCCUUAUGAUUUGGGCUACACACGUGCUACAAUGGCGUAAACAAAGGGAAGCAAGCCUGCGAAGGUAAGCAAAUCCCAAAAAUAACGUCCCAGUUCGGACUGCAGUCUGCAACUCGACUGCACGAAGCUGGAAUCGCUAGUAAUCGCGGAUCAGAAUGCCGCGGUGAAUACGUUCCCGGGUCUUGUACACACCGA
rnacentral:rRNA from 1 species